rnacentral:rRNA from 1 species
AUCAUCAAAACUUUGAACGCAUCUUGCGCUUCCGGGAUAUGCCUGGGAGCAUGCUUGUCGGAGUGUCUGUUGACACAUCUCGCCCCCCCGUCUCUGUUUCCUUCUGGGAAAGAGAGGCGAGAGGGCGGACUCUGCGUGUUCCGGAGCGCGAGCUCCGAGUGCACCGAACCUCGUGAACGCGAGACCUCUACUGCUGAUUGCACAGAGUUGUUGACGGCGUGUCUGCUUCGGCGGCGCGACUCUCUACUCGCCACGUGCCUUCGGUCUAGGAUUGGUCGUAGUUCCGGCAGAGCUGUGCUCGCACAGCACUACCCCAACUUUCGUUCGGACCUCCGAU